rnacentral:rRNA from 1 species
UACGUAGGGAGCAAGCGUUGUCCGGAUUUAUUGGGCGUAAAGAGCGUGUAGGCGGCUAGGUAGGUCCGUUGUGAAAACUCGAGGCUCAACCUCGAGACGUCGAUGGAAACCAUCUAGCUAGAGUCCGGAAGAGGAGAGUGGAAUUCCUGGUGUAGCGGUGAAAUGCGCAGAUAUCAGGAAGAACACCCGUGGCGAAGGCGGCUCUCUGGUACGUGACUGACGCUGAGACGCGAAAGCGUGGGGAGCAAACAGG